CCCAAGAGAUCGGGAUAACACCUGGAAACAGAUGCUAAUACCGGAUAACAACAGAUGAUGCCUAUCAACUGUUUAAAAGAUGGUUCUGCUAUCACUCUUGGAUGGACCUGCGGUGCAUUAGCUAGUUGGUAGGGUAACGGCCUACCAAGGCGAUGAUGCAUAGCCGAGUUGAGAGACUGAUCGGCCACAUUGGGACUGAGACACGGCCCAAACUCCUACGGGAGGCAGCAUGC
rnacentral:rRNA from 1 species